rnacentral:rRNA from 1 species
AUGCUUGAGGUGGCCACGCUGCAAAGCCCUAAUCCGGCCGUCUUCAGCCUCGGCGACCACCACCAUGUCGAUGUCGGGUUCCCGGAGGCCACCGUGGAGGAGGACGACUUCCUGCUGGACUACAUCGACUUCAGCACGUGCGACAUGCCCUUCUUCCACGUCGACGACGGCGACGACAUCCUCCCCGACCUCGAGGUCGACCCGACCGAGCUCCUCGCCGAGUUCGCCGACGAGCCGGCGACGACUACGGUGCUGAGCCCGGCGGCAGAGCCGGCGCCAGACAGCUGCGAAACCCACCAUGGCGACGAGGCGAAGACGGCCGUGGAAACGGACCUACCGGCAGAGAUGGACAUGGAACUACCAGAAGGCAAGGGCGAGACGAAGGGUUUGAUGUCGUCGUCGGAAGAGAAAGAUGUGAAGCAGCAGCACGACAACAAGAACAACAACAACAACAACAACAACAUCGUGGGCGAUGAGGUUUGCAGCGCGGUGACGACGGACGAUUCUUCCGCUGCGGUCGGGUCUGAGAACAGCAAGUCGUCGGCGUCGGCAAAGGGGCACAGCAAGAUGACGUCGAAGCCCGCGUCGGCAGCCGCGGCGACCAAGAGCUCCCACGGCAGGCGGAAGGUGAAGGUGGACUGGACGCCGGAGUUGCACCGGCGGUUCGUGCAGGCGGUGGAGCAGCUGGGGCUGGACAAGGCGGUGCCGUCGCGGAUCCUGGAGCUCAUGGGCAACGAGUACCGCCUCACGCGCCACAACAUCGCCAGCCAUCUCCAGAAGUACAGGUCACACAGGAAGCACCUGAUGGCGAGGGAGGCGGAGGCGGCGAGCUGGACGCAGAAGCGGCAGAUGUACGCGGCGGCCGGCGGGCCGAGGAAGGACGCGGCGGCGGGAGGCGGCCCGUGGGUCGUGCCGACGGUCGGGUUCCCGCCCCCGGGGGCGAUGCCGCCGCACGCGGGGAUGGCGCACCACCCCGGCCAGCCGCCGCCGUUCUGCCGGCCGCUGCACGUGUGGGGCCAUCCCACCGGCGUCGACGCGACGCUGCCGCUGUCGCCGCCGUCCAUGCUGCCCGUCUGGCCGCGGCACCUGGCGCCGCCGCCGGCGUGGGCGCAGCAGCCGCCGGUGGACCCCGUCUACUGGCACCAGCAGUACAACGCUGCCAGGAAAUGGGGCCCGCAGGCAGUGACACAGUGCGUUCCGCCGCCGAUGCCUCCUGCGGCCAUGAUGCAGAGGUUUGCUGCGCCGCCGAUGCCGGGGAUGGUACCGCAUCCUAUGUACAGACCGAUCCCGCCUCCGCCGUCGCCGGUGCCGCAGAGCAAUAAGGUCGCCGGCCUGCAGCUUCAGCUCGACGCCCACCCGUCCAAGGAGAGCAUCGACGCAGCCAUCGGAGACGUUUUAGUGAAGCCAUGGCUGCCGCUUCCCCUGGGGCUCAAGCCCCCGUCGCUGGACAGCGUCAUGUCGGAGCUGCACAAGCAAGGCAUACCCAAGGUCCCGCCGGCGGCGACAACGAACUGCGGCGGCGCCGCCUGA